rnacentral:rRNA from 1 species
UACGUAGGGUGCGAGCGUUAAUCGGAAUUACUGGGCGUAAAGCGUGCGCAGGCGGUGAGCUGUGUCCGAUGUGAAAGCCCCGGGCUUAACCUGGGAAUGGCAUUGGAAACUGGCUCGCUGGAGUGUGGCAGAGGGGGGUGGAAUUCCGCGUGUAGCAGUGAAAUGCGUAGAGAUGCGGAGGAACACCGAUGGCGAAGGCAGCCCCCUGGGCUAACACUGACGCUCGAGGCACGAAAGCGUGGGAGCGAACAGG